rnacentral:rRNA from 1 species
AUACGUAGGGGGCGAGCGUUGUCCGGAAUGAUUGGGCGUAAAGGGCGCGUAGGCGGCCCGGUAAGUCUGGAGUGAAAGUCCUGUUUUUAAGAUGGGAAUUGCUUUGGAUACUGUCGGGCUUGAGUGCAGGAGAGGUAAGUGGAAUUCCCAGUGUAGCGGUGAAAUGCGUAGAGAUUGGGAGGAACACCAGUGGCGAAGGCGACUUACUGGACUGUAACUGACGCUGAGGCGCGAAAGUGUGGGGAGCAAACAGGAUUAGAUACCCUGGUAGUCCACACUGUGAACGAUGAAUGCUAGGUGUAGGGGGUAUCGACCCCUUCUGUGCCGCAGUCAACACAAUAAGCAUUCCGCCUGGGGAGUACGGCCGCAAGGUUGAAACUCAAAGGAAUUGACGG